CGAACGCUGGCGGCGUGCUUAACACAUGCAAGUCGAACGGAAAGGCCCUGCUUGCAGGGUACUCGAGUGGCGAACGGGUGAGUAACACGUGGGUGAUCUGCCCUGCACUUCGGGAUAAGCUUGGGAAACUGGGUCUAAUACCGGAUAGGAACCAUCUUUAGUGUGGUGGUUGGAAAGUUUUUUCGGUGUAGGAUGAGCUCGCGGCCUAUCAGCUUGUUGGUGGGGUAAUGGCCUACCAAGGCGGCGACGGGUAGUCGGCCUGAGAGGGUGUACGGCCACAUUGGGACUGAGAUACGGCCCAGACUCCUACGGGAGGCAGCAGUGGGGAAUAUUGCACAAUGGGCGCAAGCCUGAUGCAGCGACGCCGCGUGGGGGAUGAAGGCCUUCGGGUUGUAAACUCCUUUCGCUAGGGACGAAGCUUUUUUGUGACGGUACCUAGAUAAGAAGCACCGGCUAACUAC
rnacentral:rRNA from 1 species